UCGGGUGUGGCGCAUGGUGCACGGUGGCUUUCAAUGAUGGUAACUUGUACGAUUAGGCCGCAGCCGGGGUUCGACUCCCCGCACUCGAA